UGCUAUAAGUCGCUUAAUUUCUGCCUAAUAUGGCGGAGAGCGGGGGAACCACAGUAAGGCAGCGUGCUUGAUUCGGUGUGAGAGCCGAAUGAUACACGAUGCAUGGGGUGAAUUCUGAUCCGAAGAUUCAUAUGAAAUGUCAUAUGGAAUCAUGAGGAACAGAUAGGACGACUCUCACCGUCCGAAUCCGACAGCUAACCUCGUAAGCUGUACAGAGUUACACU
rnacentral:sRNA from 2 species